GUGGGGAAUCUUGCGCAAUGGGCGAAAGCCUGACGCAGCCAUGCCGCGUGAAUGAUGAAGGUCUUAGGAUUGUAUAAUUCUUUCACCGGGGACGAUAAUGACGGUACCCGGAGAAGAAGCUCCGGCUAACUUCGUGCCAGCAGCCGCGGUAAUACGAAGGGGGCUAGCGUUGCUCGGAAUUACUGGGCGUAAAGGGCGCGUAGGCGGACAGCUUAGUCAGAGGUGAAAGCCCAGGGCUCAACCUUGGAAUUGCCUUUGAUACUGGCUGUCUUGAGUUUGGGAGAGGUGAGUGGAACUCCGAGUGUAGAGGUGAAAUUCGUAGAUAUUCGGAAGAACACCAGUGGCGAAGGCGACUCACUGGCCCAAUACUGACGCUGAGGCGCGAAAGCGUGGGGAGCAAACAGGAUUAGAUACCCGUGUAGUCC
rnacentral:rRNA from 1 species